rnacentral:rRNA from 1 species
GGAUCCAGACUUUGAUUCUGGCUCAGGAUGAACGCUAGCUACAGGCUUAACACAUGCAAGUCGAGGGGCAGCAUGACGAUAGCUUGCUAUUGUUGAUGGCGACCGGCGCACGGGUGAGUAACGCGUAUCCAACCUGCCCUUGUCCAUCGGAUAACCCGUCGAAAGGCGGCCUAACACGAUAUGCAGUCCACAGAAGGCAUCUGACGCGGACGAAAUGUGAAGGAGAAGGAUGGGGAUGCGUCUGAUUAGCUUGUUGGCGGGGUAACGGCCCACCAAGGCGACGAUCAGUAGGGGUUCUGAGAGGAAGGUCCCCUACAUUGGAACUGAGACACGGUCCAAACUCCUACGGGAGGCAGCAGUGAGGAAUAUUGGUCAAUGGGCGAGAGCCUGAACCAGCCAAGUAGCGUGCAGGAUGACGGCCCUAUGGGUUGUAAACUGCUUUUAUGCGGGGAUAAAGUGAGCCACGUGUGGCUUAUUGCAGGUACCGCAUGAAUAAGGACCGGCUAAUUCCGUGCCAGCAGCCGCGGUAAUACGGAAGGUCCGGGCGUUAUCCGGAUUUAUUGGGUUUAAAGGGAGCGUAGGCCGUCUGAUAAGCGUGUUGUGAAAUGUCGGGGCUCAACCUGGGCAUUGCAGCGCGAACUGUGAGACUUGAGUGCGCGGGAAGUGGGCGGAAUUCGUCGUGUAGCGGUGAAAUGCUUAGAUAUGACGAAGAACUCCGAUUGCGAAGGCAGCCUGCUGUAGCGCAACUGACGCUGAAGCUCGAAAGCGUGGGUAUCGAACAGGAUUAGAUACCCUGGUAGUCCACGCGGUAAACGAUGGAUGCUCGCUGUUUGCGUCUGACGUAAGCGGCCAAGCGAAAGCGUUAAGCAUCCCACCUGGGGAGUACGCCGGCAACGGUGCAACUCAAAUGAAUUGACGG